AUACGUAGGGGGCGAGCGUUGUCCGGAAUGAUUGGGCGUAAAGGGCGCGUAGGCGGCCCGGUAAGUCUGGAGUGAAAGUCCUGUUUUUAAGAUGGGAAUUGCUUUGGAUACUGUCGGGCUUGAGUGCAGGAGAGGUAAGUGGAAUUCCCAGUAUAGCGGUGAAAUGCGUAGAGAUUGGGAGGAACACCAGUGGCGAAGGCGACUUACUGGACUGUAACUGACGCUGAGGCGCGAAAGUGUGGGGAGCAAACAGGAUUAGAUACCCUGGUAGUCCACACUGUAAACGAUGAAUGCUAGGUGUAGGGGGUAUCGACCCCUUCUGUGCCGCAGUCAACACAAUAAGCAUUCCGCCUGGGGAGUACGGCCGCAAGGUUGAAACUCAAAUGAAUUGACGGGG
rnacentral:rRNA from 1 species